GCCGCCAUCGUCUAAUGGUUAGGACGUCGGGCUUUCAAUCCGGCAAUCGGGGUUCGAUUCCCCGUGGCGGUA
rnacentral:tRNA from 1 species